UUGUUUAAAGCGUGUACAUGAAAGCCACAUGAUUUUAAGCCGCUUGUCAGUCCUGGAUGGGGAAAAUUGCAGAAAUAUUUCAAAAGGGGAGGGAAGAGGAGGGGGUUCUUUGAAUCCCCGCCCUUUGGCCGUGCUCGUAAACCUCCUUUUUUUCCCUUAAAAAGGCGGAGGGAGCGGGUUCUCAUAAAAUGUAAGCUGAUGCUUCCUCCCAAGCCAGGCCUCGUUGGCGCCACUGCUAACUUCGGGAAUGUGACACGUGAGGUUGGGUGUCUCCGGAUUUGCAUGCCUCAUGAAUAUGCAUCGAAAUGGGAGUGACGAGCCCGGCCUUGAUUUGAACGUCAUGAAUAUGCACAGUGCGAGGAUCGGCUGCGCCUAUGUCGGGCCGUAGAUCGCCGAACCUGUAUCAUAGGGGCUGACACUUAUGCUGAGUUCAGAGUCCCGGCCUGGUAAUGUGAUGGACUCUAAUUCCCAGUCGUUGUGCUCCCCAUUUCCCUGUACUGCUGCCAAUGGCCAGAGAGGACCCAAACAGCCAUCAAGCAGUCCUGAGAUAGAGGAUGUUCGUCCAAAGCCACCUGUGAAACCCAAGCCCUGGGUGCUGCCAAAGCCAGCUAUGCCAGUGAAGCCUGUUCCUGGCCUGCGUCAGGCUCUCUCUGAGGUGCCCUCUGCUGAAAAGAUCAACUUAUUGGCUGGGCCCAAGCCAUAUAGCAGUGGGGCCUGCAACGCAGUUAAGCGUCUCUCUUUUAGUCUAAAGACCCCUGCAAGAGAAUCUACCAAUGGGAAAGAGGUUUUGUCUCCAUUUUCCACUAUAGCCAAACCAUCUGGAGAUGGUGAGGUAGCUGGGCCAACAAAGAAAUCAACUGCUGUGGAGGGAGCUUCUGGAGAAGAGAGUGGAGAAUCCUCCAGUUUACGCAAGGGCACUGUUCCAUUCAAAGUAAAGCCAGUGCCAGUAGCAGCCAAGCCAGAGCGUUUUCCUGGGACCACAGUGGAGGAGAUUUUGGCCAAGAUGGAGAAGCCCAACAAGGAGGGGGUAAACAGCCCUGACAGGCCUCGGCUGGUACGCUCCUUCUUCAGCCAGGAUGGUAGCACAGCUGUUCACCUGGGGCCUAAGGGUUAUGCUGCAUUCCGGAGAUGUUCCAGUGGAGAAGGCAGUGAAAUGGAAUUGGAGGGUCCUACCUACAGAAUCUCUUGUGACGUUGAGGAGAGCAGAUUGUCAAGGAACAAGGAGGAAAUCACAAGUUCAAAUGGUCAGCAUCUGCCUGAAUCUGAGCAACCAGCAAGAGCAAUGGAGAGGAACUUAGAUUUACUCUCUAGGGACAGCAGCUCCAGUCGACCUAGCGUGAGCUAUGAUGGAGGCCAACCUGGAUAUAGCAGUCCACCAUCUCCCCUUGGCGACUCUUUCCCCAAGACCUAUCAACCCCUCACUAAGCUUUCUUCUGGAGUCACUCCUGGGUCCCCUAAUGCUGUUGCUGAACCAGCCCAACCCCCAGGUGCCCCACAUUUUCCAGCAGAUGUUCUAAGCACUGAAGCUCAGCUUCCACCAGGCUCUCCUGAUGCACCUACUGACCUCCUUGAAUCUCCUGUUGAGGUCUCCCUUGGUCUUGUCCAGGCUCCAGGUUCCCCCAUGGCCCUUUCUGAUCCCUGCCCCCCAGGAUCCCCCAGUAGUUCCAUCAAAACUUUCCUAGGACACUCCCAGCCUUCGGGUCUCAAGGGCCUUUCUGAAAAAUGCCCUGAGGUCUGUCUUCUCCCUGGGCCAUCUGCCAGUUUGACCCAUCCACUUGCUGAGCUCAGCCUGGAACCCCGCAGUGGUCUCCAGGGAGUCUCAGAGUCCCCUGGCUCUCCAAGCACUCCUUCUGAGUACUAUGUUGCUUCUGAUAAACCUCCUGGCUCCCCCUCUCGCACACAAGACACGUCCUUACUCUCCAGAGACCAGGAUUCCCUCAAGAAUCAAUCACCAAUGUUACCUCUUGAGGACAAAGACCCCCAACUCUCACAGGUGCUUCUACGGCGUGCCUCAGAGGGAGUGUUGCAGCCACGGGGUAAAAAAAUAGUCAGGGAGGAGCUAGGGGGGUCCUUGGCUGUCUUGCCAAGAGUAGGGGGUCCUCCCUUAGAGCAGGCUGCAGGGGGAGAGUCCAAUUGGAGCCUGUCACAGUCCUUUGAAUGGGCUUUCCCUACCCGGACUCUCGAGUUUGGUGGAAAGAGACUCGGGUCUCCUCCAAGGUCUCCCAUUAAGGAAUCUGAUGAUACUGACCAGUUGGAGGCAGAAUUGGGUAGAAUGAGCCUCAGCCCCAAAGGGUCUUAUGAGAAGAGAGAUUCAGAGAGCCGGAGGAGGGGAGGAGGGGAAACUGAGGCUUAUGGGAGUUUUCCCUGCCUCAGUGAUUCCAGGGGCUCUCAAGGGAGCCAGAGGAAGCCUGAGGGCCAGCCGGAGUCCCUUUCAACUCUUGAGGUAUCGGCACCUGGAGGUCCCUCUGCUCAGAGGAAGCUUAUCAGCCCUAAGCUACAGGGCCCUAUUGUGGCAGCAGAGGGUGGCUGUGAAGAGGAGCACGAUGGCUUUCUGCCCUUUCUCCCAGCCCCCGAGGAAGCGGCUUUACGGGCAAUGGAGCCAUUGCCAAGUGUAGAACAGGCUGCCCCUCCUGCGGAGCCUUGCAUCUUAUUCUUAGAAGAUGCCCAGAUGCAGAUGGCUGCUUCCUGCCAGGAAGAUGAUGGUGCUUUAGGUCUGACACAGGAAGGCAAGAUGGGGGGUGCUGACCCCCUGAGUGGAACUGAUCCCGAUUCUGGCUCACACUGGCUGGAUGAACUGCUGGCAUCUCCUCCACCCAGCGCUGAUGACACAAAGAGAAGUACGCCCAAGUCGGAAGAACCCACAGGAUCAGAGGAUCUUCUGGGAUGGUCACGGAAGGAUCUUUGCAGCGAGUUUGGCAUUGUAGAAGUUGAUCGGUCUGCUACCUUUGGCAUGGGUUGGGCUGCUGGCGUCGGCAAGGUUGUUUGGCCUGGUGAAAUGGAACAGGAUCGAGAGUUUGGCACUGGCACACAGGACUGGGUGAGCUCGUAUAGCGUUAGUGAUGCCAAAAGGCAGGAUAUGGAAUUUGGUGCCAGUCAGCAAGACUGGACCAGAGGUACACCGUCGCAGAGCAAUUCUGAACCAGGUCAAGAAGAAUGGCUCACUGCCUAUGGCAGCAAUUGUGCUGAUCAGAAGAUUGAGGAGUCAGAUUGGAGCAGUACGUAUAGUAUCAGCACUGCUGAGUCUCAGGACAGAGAGCUUUACAUGAGGAAACCAGGCUGGCCCAGACUCUGCAGUAAUGACAAUAAUCAAGAGAGUAGCACAUUUGCUCCUGAGAAAAUGGGUUGGAAUAGCGCAUAUGAUGUUGGUGUUUCUGAAAGGACUGACUGGCUCAACAAAUACAGUGAAGAAAAUGCCAGCUGCCUUGAAUCAAAGGUCGACACAAAGUUAUCAGAUGAGUCUGUCAAAUACGGUACUGACAGCCAUCAGGAUACAGAACUCGAUGUCAGGCAUUCAGAGGGGCCCAGUGAUCCCAGUGCUAAAACUGUUGGCUCUCAGGAUGCCACAUUCAAUGCCAGCCAGUUAGGCUGGCCUAGUGACAGCAGUGCUAGACAGGUGCUUUCAGAGUUCAGUGCCCACCAGGUGGAGCAGCUCAGUGGUUAUACUGCAAACCAUCUAGAAUCUCAGAUUAGCACCCAACAGCGACUGCGGCCUAAUACAUAUGGGUUUGAUGAUGACAACUGUCAGGAGUCUGAAUUGAAUGUCAAACAGUCUAACUGGCCCAGCAGCUAUGACAUGGGGCUUGCCCAAAGUCAAGAUGGUGAGUUUAGUGCUGAGAAACCAGACGGAGCCAGUGAAUGUGAUGAUAGCCGAACAGGCUGGGAAAGAGAACUAGGUGUUGCAAAUAGGGGAAGCGCCACUGAAUUUGAGGCUGGUGAUCUGAAGUUCUGUGCUCGGAAGCCAGUCUGGGCUGAUGAUUACAGCCUUAGUGAAACUGAUACGCAUGGUAGUGAUUUCGCUGGUGGCAGAAGGGACUGGAUCAGAGACACUGAUCUCUCAGCAACAGAACAGAAAAAACAGUUAGGUGCCAUAGGGAAGGACCUAGCUGAAAGCUGUGGCCCAUUAGAGUUACAGAGUCUAAGAGUGACAGUGGAUUUGGAUGAGACAGCAGGCAGCCUGAUCGGUGAGGCUGGAGGCUUAAUAACUGUGGCUAUGGAUGAGCCCAGAGGAGUUGGAGAGGGGCAGCCUGAGUGGACUCAAGAUCUUGGGCUCAGAGGCAUGGACCUCUCCAGUGACUUGAAAGUUGGGAGCCCAGAUACAUCUAAAAACCACGCAGAGAAGCAGCCUUAUUGGUCCCCUUCCCUGGGCCUGGAAACCUUGUCUGCCUCAUCAGAUGCAAGAACUUUGGAUCCAGAGGAGACCAGAGAACCUGGUGUGGGGCAAGCGGAUUUGGCCUAUGGAUCUGGCACUGGAAGUAUGGAAGUGUCUGAUUUGAGGCCCAAGGCUUUGGAUGGGGCUGAGGAAGUAGGCCUAAUACAGACAGACUGGACUGCUGCAACUGGGGUAAAGCAUGAGGACCACAGCUAUCAGUUUGCAGCUACUGGUUUGGAUGGUGAUGAGAUGCAGCAUCCAGGAGCAACUGGAGACUCUGGAGAGAGGAGAAAAUUCCAUCGUCAACGACUGUCCAGCCCCAGCCGUCUGCUGGAAGAGAUGGUUUCUGAUAGUGCUGUCAAAGAGGUGGCCCAUCAGAAGAGACCUGCCUCCUUCCACAGUUGCCAUUCAGAAAAAGAGAGGGGACUCAGUGGCUGGUGUAAUAACCAGGGACCUGCAGCUGAAAGGGCUAAAGGAUUGCCUGUCCCAGCAGAGGAGGAUGGAAAGGCUUUGUCUGCUGCAGAUAGCCAGUUAGCCAGUGGAAAUGGGAGUCAACCACCUGUGGAACCGAGGGUGCUGAGUCAUCCAGAGCAAAAUGGAAGUCAAGUUGCAUGGCCCAUAUUGCAGGAGGGUCAUGCUUCAGAGGGAGCUGAGGCACCCACAGAGGAAAACUUCAUCUUCUUAGAGGAUACAGAGGUUCUUGACAACACUAUGUAUCGUGACCGUGCUAAUUUGGGCCGUAAGCGAGGUCAUCGGGCACCAGCCACCCGAACUGGAGGCACUCUUUCAGAGAGUGACAGAGACAGCUGGAUGUUCAAGGAUUCCACAGAGCCUCGAAUAGCUUCUGCUGUCUCGGAUGAAGAAGCCCCAGAGGAGCCAAGGAGCAGGAAGUCACGAAUUUCUCCAUUGUCCAAGGGGGUAAAGGUGCCCCUCUUCCCAGGACUGAACCCCUCGGCACUUAAGGCCAAGUUGCGAGGCCGCAACCGCUCUGUUGAGGAAGGGGAUCCACAAAGUGAGGCCAAGGAGACACAUGUACAACGCUCUAAAUCAUGCAAGAUUGCCAACAUCACUGGGAAACCUCUGGUGCUGCCACCCAAGCCAGAGAAAUCCUCAGGGUCAGAAACAUCCUCGCCCAAUUGGCUGCAAGUUCUGAAGUUGAAAAAGAAGAAGUCUUGAAAUAAAAAACAUUCAGACAGCUGCAGUAAAGCAGCCUAAAACUCUUGCCAUCAGUCAGAAGAUGAUUCCUGUGCCUGGAUUCCUAUGUAAAUAGUAUAUGAAUAUUUUAAGUGAGGAAACUGUUCUCUCAUCAAGGUGCCAGGCUGAAGAGGCUGACUGGUAAUUCCCAGUGUUGCUCUCCUGCUACUGGGGCCCUGACAGCAGAAGUUCCAGUGAGCUGUUCAUGGGUGGGAGACAGCAUGUUGAGAUUGGAGCCAGAAUCCCCGUCUAACAACUCUGAGGGAUUGGGGAGGUGGGGGGGGGGAGAGGGAGGUUGGAGGCACAUUUAUGCACUUUGUAUCACAUUCAGUCACUCAUGCAUAUGGCAGUCAGAUUCACUCUGCUGCUAUCCUGUCUAUUUCCUCCUUUUUUUUCCUUAUACCACAUACAGUUUUAUAAAGUCUCUUUAUUUUUUUUUAUUUUUUAAUCAGUCAAGGAGCUUAGCGUUGUCCCCUUUUUCUUUCACCCCAAGGGAGGAAAAACAAAGAGGUGAGGCUUAUGCUCUCUCGGCUGUCAUAUAAUGCAUUUCAGACAAAAGAGGAAUGAAUUUUUCCCCUUUCAGCCACUUGAAACGAAUAAAGGUUUUAUGGUUAUGGAGGCACCGUGGUUGCAGUGUGCUUGUGUGUGAUUCUCUGAGCUCUGUCAUGAGCCAGACCUUGUUACUUGGCAACAUAUUCUUUGAGAUGGGCAGACAAUAAGGGCUAUAAUGAAAUGCUGGUGGAGGAAGAAUGUGCUAUUUAGUGGGUAGAAAAAGGCACUUGUUCAAUAUAGUUUUUUCUGUCUUUAAAACUGAUUUUCAUUUUUUUCUUCUCAUGGGCUUAGGCUUGUUGGGAAUUUAGAAUAAAUUAAAUAUGAGAAUAUAUAACUUGGUUUGCUAAGUAGUUUCAGUGGGUUGUAUUCCACUAAUAUUUUCUCAGAGUAGACCAUAAGAGUUAGUUGACUACAACCCAAAAUGGAUCAAUGGGGGGAGACAAUGUUAAGCCUGGGGAGAAGCCCAACUGUACCUCUUGGUAGGUAUAUUAAAGCUGCAGAUGUACAUAAAGAGAAGAGCAUCUGAGCUCUGAAAGCGCAUUCAUCAGUCUUCUUGUCAUAUCCUAUGUACAAAUAGCAAACUCAUUCUUGGAAUAGGGGAUGCUUGUGCAUCCAACCCCCCCCCCCAAUAUGAGAUUGAUAUUGGCAGGUUUUGGGGAACCACAAAUUCUGCAGAAAUACAAAAAAAAAAUUAGAACAAACCUCUAAGGGGUUAACUCCCUGCCCCCAAACCACCAAACA